CCCUUCCCUCGUCCAGAUGGUCAGGAAAGUUGCACAAACCGUGCUGUUUAUACCCAAAUGCCCUCUUGUGUCACUCCCUUCCAAAUAAUUUAUAAUAAUUUGGCACACGGCAGCCACCUCCCGUUUCCUCCCAAUUCCGAAGAAGUUCUCAAACAGUCACAGCCCCGCGAGAAAUGGGAUGGUCAGAAUGACACCAAAAUACCUCAAGCUAUUUUUCCCAAAAUUCGGCCGUUCCUGCAAAUGGGCAUUCCAUCUGCAGGAACUCUUCCCCCCUCGAACAUCCACCGAGGUAAAGAAAGUUUCAAGUUGGAUAUUCGACGGAUAUUCGCGCUUUCAAACCACUUGAGCCAAAGACUCCAAAUAAGUGGCAAGAUGUUGGAAAAAUUGCGCACAACAUUAUUUUCACGAUUUGGACAUUAAUUCGCAUUCCAAAGCUAAUAAACAUGUGGAAAUGUGAGCACUAUUUGGUAUUCCUAGUCGAAUUAGUUAGGGAGCGUAAACAAAGUGCAAACUUUUUUACUUUCGAAUUUCAAUAGCUCCUUGUCUCAAACAAGUGUCAGAAUGUCCACUGGCUACCCUUCUGUAUUGCACACCCUUUGGUUUGUUCAUUUUCAUCUCACACGUUUUUACGUGAAUUGUUCAAACUUUAAAAUCGAAAUGGCUCCUUGGUCAUGUGACCUACUGACUUCAAACAAGGUUCAGAAUGUCCACUCGAAGACAAUGAGGCUGCAGGCCAGGUAUGUUUUUUUUCUCCAAAUGUUAAAGGAUUGUGAUAGUUUGUUUUCAGUUCAUGUUUAAGAGGACAAUAACUUUUCUAAAUGUGUUUCAUUUGCAUAUUGCAGGUCACAGCUCUGUGGCGAAGAAACAAUUGCGAGGUGGUGGUUGCUGAUGUGAGGUCUACAGACAAAAAAUCCUCUUUCCUUCUCCAACAUUCAGAGUUUAAAACUCUGCAGCCCCACAAAUGGCUUGUGGAUGAGAGAAUACUUCAAAAUGAGAAGAUCCUGCCAUGGAAAAGACGACUUGGUGGACAUAAAGUGGAAAGGAGGGGAAAUAACUCACAACAUGCAGGAGGACACCUUCAGCUGCGGGGUCUUUGUAAUGCAGAUCGAAUAUUUUGCAUGCCAACGGUGGGUCCAUGUGCUGUGCCUAGGAAUGAAGACAAAAGAGUUCAACAGAGUAAAGAACACAAACUGGAAGUGCAGUCUUUGUUGUUGAAAAUCCACACUGAAGAGGCUCUGAAAUGUACAUCAACCAGGGAUAAAGAGAAAGUUAACACUGAAAUGUUUUGUACUUUGAAGAAAAGUGUCUGACAUGUUGGAAAAGAUUAAAGGUCUACAAUUUCCGUUUAAUUUGCCAAAAUAAAAUGUUUAUUCAUUGAUUUACUGGCCACCAUUACUGUGGUUACAUGUUCAUAUAUGUAUUGACCAGCAAACCCACUGCAGCCUACCUCACUAGCUCACUCUCCAUCCCUGCUUUGGACAAUUAUUAACAUGACUCUCGUACUUUGCCCUUUCCUUUAUGGUUGAUAUUAAUGAUGAAAGGAGAUAUUCUGUACAGCUGUUAAAUACUGAGGAGAAAUAAAUAAAAAAUAGGGAAAAUAAGUACUUAGAACUAUCAAUUAUUAAAGAUAAAUAUUAAAGAAAAGGGUAAACACAACACUGGACUGAAUCCCCUAAUUGUCAAACUAAUAUUAAUGAACAACAAUAUCGAAGAUACAUGACUAGAGGUUAUGCAAUAUGGGUGUAUAUCCACCACAUGCUUCCUAGGUGUCUAAUUGACCAAGGAGCUAUUGAAAUUUAAAACUAUGAAAAAUGUACUGCGUGAUUUUACAGUACACAAACAAGAGUGUGCAAUAUAUAAUGCUAGUCCGUAGACAUUCUAAAGUUUGAGUCUAGUAGGUCACAUGACCAAGGAGCAAUUGAAGUUUGAAAGUUUGAAAAAUGAAUGUAAAAUCGAGUGAGAUGAAAAUGGACAAACUAAAGGGUGUGCAAUGUGUAGGCUCACUGAGUGGACAUUCUGAACCUUGUUUGACGUCAGGUCACAUGACCAAGGAGCUAUUGAAAUUUGAAAGUUUGAAAAAUUCAUGGAAAAACAUGUGAGAUGAAAAUGGACAAACUAACGGGUGUGCAAUGGUAUCAAAAAUGGUAUAAAAAAAUCUGUAUACAAUCAACCUAUUCCAGACCAGUCUGCACGUUUUAAAGUUUGAAUGGCGUUUCUAUCAUUGAAAUGCAUUGGGAUUCAUGCACAUUUAUUUGUAGUGUGAAAAGUAUAAGUAGUAUCAAAACGUUUGACCAAAACGUUGAAAGCAACUUGGAGACAUUCUGCACCUUUUAAAGUUGCUUUAGUCUCGGUAGCAUUAGCUUUUUUUGCGCUAGAGGUUCCAGCAGAAGGCAAAUCAUAACUAUACUGAACAAAAAUAUAAACGCAACGUGUAAAGUGUUGGACCCAUGUUUCAUGAGCUGAAAUAAAAUAUCCCAGAAAUGUUCCAUGCACACAAAAAACGUAUUUCUCUCCAAUUUUGUGCACAAAUUUGUUUACAUCCCUGUUAGUGAAUGUUUAUCCUUUGCCAAGAUAAUUAUUCCACCUGACAGGUGUGGUAUAUCAAGAAGCUGAUUAAACACCAUGAUCAAUACUGUGCUGGUGACAAUAAAAGGCCACUCUAAAAUGUGCAGUUUUGUCACACAAUAAAAUGCCACAGAUGUCUCAAGUUUUGAGGGAGUGUGCAAUUGGCAUGCUGACUGCAGCAAUGUCCACCAGAACUGAUCCCAGAGAAUUGUAUGUUCAUUUCUCUACCAUAAGCCGCCUCCAACGUUGCUUUAGAGAAUUUUGUCAGUACGUCCAACUGGCCUCACAACCGCAGACCACAUGUAACAACGCUAGCUCAGGACCUCCACAUCCGGCUUCUUAACCUGCGGGAUCAUCUGAGACCAGCCACAUGAACAGCUGAUGAAACUGAGGAGUAUAUCUGUCUGUAAAAAAGCUAUUUUGUGGGGAAAAACUUAGGGCAGGGGCUGGGAUUAAAAAUAAAAUAAUAAAUUAAACAUGGCAGCAGCACAAAACAGGGUACAAACAUUAUUGGGCACAGACAACAGCACAAAGGGCAAGAAGGUAAAGACAACGAUACAUCACGCAAAGCAGCCACACCUGUCAGUAAGAGUGUCCAUGAUUGAGUCUUUGAAUGAAGAGAUUGAGAUAAAACUGUUCAGUUUGUGUAGUUGUGGCAGCUCGUUCCAGUUGCUAGCUGCAGCAAACUGAAAAGACGAGCGAUCCAAGGAUGUGUGUGCUUUGGGGACCUUUAACAGAAUGUGACUGGCAGAACGGGUGUUGUAUGUGAAGGAUGACGGCUACAGUAAAUAUCUCAGAUAGUGGGGAGUGAGGCCUAAAAGGGUGGUAUGGUAGCAACUGGUUAUAGUUGAAAAGUAGAUAGAUGGGACAAUUGAUUGAUUGAUUUAUUGAUAGGAUAGCCUGAACUUGUGAAAGUUAGUUUGGUGUCUUUAACUUGAAUGGUUCAAGAGUUGCUAUUGUUG
rnacentral:lncRNA from 13 species